rnacentral:lncRNA from 1 species
GAAGGAAUCCGUCUUGAUCACACUGGGAUCCAACAGCGUUUUGCUGAAGUUUGAGUCUCCCGCUGAUCUCAGCUCAUUUUCAAAUACCCUGAAAAGAUGCCGGAAGGAGAAAAAGGAAUCCUCGGUGUUCAGCCAGCGGACAGAAGAGGCAUCUGCCGUACAGUACUUCCAGUUUUAUGGCUGCAUUUCCCAGCAACAGAACAUGAUGCAGGAUUUUGUGAGGACAGCCACUUACCACAGAGCCAUCCUCCAGAACCACACUGACUUCAGA